rfam:Larimichthys crocea isolate SSNF unplaced genomic scaffold scaffold119, whole genome shotgun sequence.
UUCCCUUUUUUUUGUAAGUUGCUUUGGUUAAAAGCAUCUGCUAAAUGACUUAAU